AUUGAACGCUGGCGGCAUGCCUAACACAUGCAAGUCGAACGGCAGCACGUUGUGUAGCAAUACACAUGGGUGGCGAGUAGCGGACGGGUGAGUAUAAAGUAGGAAUCUGCCUUAUAGAUUGGGACAACUUGGGGAAAGCUCGAGCUAAUACCGGAUAAGCACUACGGUGGAAAGUAUGGGACCGAAAGGCCAUACGCUAUAAGAUGAGCCUACGUCGGAUUAGUUAGUUGGUUAGGUAAAGGCUGACCAAGACAAAGAUCCGUAGCUGGUCUGAGAGGAUGAUCAGCCACACUGGGACUGAGACACGGCCCAGACUCCUACGGGAGGCAGCAGUGGGGAACUAUUGGACAAUGGGGAAACCCGUCGAUCCAGCGAUGCCGCGUGUGCGAGAAGG
rnacentral:rRNA from 1 species